UGUCACUAGUGGAGUUCCACAGGGCUGCAUUUUAGGCUGUGUGUUCUUCAACAUCAUCAUGAAUGACUUGGACACAGGACUGGAAGGGAUACUAAGCAAGUUUGCUGAUGACAUUG